CCUACGGGUGGCAGCAGUAGGGAAUCUUCCACAAUGGGCGAAAGCCUGAUGGAGCAACGCCGCGUGGGUGAAGAAGGUCUUCGGAUCGUAAAACCCUGUUGUUAGAGAAGAAAGUGCGUGAGCGUAACUGUUCACGUUUCGACGGUAUCUAACCAGAAAGCCAUGGCUAACUACGUGCCAGCAGCCGCGGUAAUACGUAGGUGGCAAGCGUUAUCCGGAUUUAUUGGGCGUAAAGGGAACGCAGGCGGUCUUUUAAGUCUGAUGGGAAAGCCUUCGGCUUAACCGGAGUAGUGCAUUGGAAACUGGUAGACUUGAGUGGAGGAGAGGUGAGUGGAACGCCAUGUGUAGCGGUGAAAUGCGUAGAUAUAUGGAAGAACACCAGUGGCGAAGGCGGCUCUCUGGUCUGUAACUGACGCUGAGGUUCGAAAGCGUGGGUAGCAAACAGGAUUAGAUACCCUUGUAGUC
rnacentral:rRNA from 1 species